UACGAAGGGUGCAAGCGUUGUUCGGAUUUAUUGGGCGUAAAGCGUGCGCAGGCGGAUAUGCAAGUAAGGUGUGAAAUCUCUGGGCUCAACCUGGAAAGUGCGCCUUAAACUACAUAUCUAGAAUAUCGGAGAGGGAAGGGGGAAUUUCUCAUGUAGGGGUAAAAAUCCGUAGAUAUGAGAAGGAACACCGGAGGCGAAGGCGCCUUCCUGGACGAUCAUUGACGCUGAGGCACGAAAGCGUGGGGAGCAAACAGG
rnacentral:rRNA from 1 species